rnacentral:rRNA from 1 species
GGUGAACGCUGGCGGCGUGCUUAAGACAUGCAAGUCGAACGGCAGUCUUCGGACUGUAGUGGCGCACGGGUGAGUAACGCGUAACUGACCUACCCCAAAGUCGCGGAUAACGAUUCGAAAGAAUCGCUAAUACGUGAUGUGCUGUCAGAUUGUGUUCUGCCAGUAAAGAUUGAUUGCUUUGGGAUGGGGUUGCGUUCUAUCAGCUAGUUGGUGGGGUAAAGGCCCACCAAGGCGACGACGGAUAGCCGGCCUGAGAGGGUGGCCGGCCACAGGGGCACUGAGACACGGGUCCCACUCCUACGGGAGGCAGCAGUUAGGAAUCUUCCACAAUGGGCGAAAGCCUGAUGGAGCGACGCCGCGUGGGGGAUGAAGGUCUUCGGAUCGUAAACCUCUGAAUCAGGGACGAAAGACACUUCGGUGGGAUGACGGUACCUGAGUAAUAGCACCGGCUAACUCCGUGCCAGCCGCCGCGGUAAAAC